AUGUAUGUAUAGAACCAUAAUUUAUAUAUGUAUUUUGUUCUUUUCUCCUAGCUGCUCUAUACUACUGUUUAUAGUAUUGUAAGAUUAUAGGUACUUUUACUUUUCGCUUCGUAUACAGAGGAAAUACCUCUGUAUACGGUUGGUCUGUUAGCGAGCCCAGAGAAACGAGUAAUCCGGGGCGUGACAAAGUAUUAAUAAAAUGAUAUUUUAAUAAGUUAAUAAAUAAAUUAAUGAAAAUUACUAUAUGAGACAAUGAAAAUGACGCUAAUUAGUAAAUAACUAUAAAAAAACUCAAUAUGUUAAUAUUUAAUUAAUUAUUUAAUUAUUUAUAUUUUUAUUUAAUAUAUUAAUUAGAUAAAUUAAAAUAUUAAUUAUUUAAAUAGAUAUUAGUUAAUGAUUAAAUAAGCAUAUCAAAUGGC
rnacentral:lncRNA from 1 species